UACGUAGGGUGCGAGCGUUAAUCGGAAUUACUGGGCGUAAAGCGUGCGCAGGCGGCUUCGCAAGUCAGGCGUGAAAUCCCCGGGCUUAACCUGGGAAUGGCGUCUGAAACUACGGAGCUGGAGUGUGGCAGAGGGAGGUAGAAUUCCACGUGUAGCGGUGAAAUGCGUAGAUAUGUGGAGGAAUACCGAUGGCGAAGGCAGCCUCCUGGGCCAACACUGACGCUCAUGCACGAAAGCGUGGGGAGCAAGCAGG
rnacentral:rRNA from 1 species